AAAAAUGUCUCUCGAUAACAGAUAUCUAGGCUCUCGUAUCGAUGAAGAACAUAACAAAAUGCGAUUACUUGGCAUGAAUUGUAGAAUCCCUUGAACUAUCGAGUCUUAGAACACAAGUUGUGCCCCAAGCUGUCAGGCUGAAGGCACACCUGCUUGGG
rnacentral:rRNA from 2 species